rnacentral:lncRNA from 1 species
AGACCAGCUCAGAGUACGGAGAGCUGGAGGCACAGUGGCUGCAGCUCCAGCCUCAGAGCCUGCGCCUCCAAGUGGCCAGGGCGGCAUUGGGAGGGAGGCGGAGGGAGGAGGGGGGCGGGAGGCGAGAGGCAGGAGGGGAACUGGGUCCAGGUUUUGCCAGCAGCCCUCCUGGCAGCCAUUCAGAGCUCCUGCCCCUGCUGGCGCGGCAGCAGAAGCGGCGGGAGCGGCUGCGGCGGCAGAGGGGGGCGCGGCGGUGGCAGAGGCGCGCCGGCAGAGGCGCACAGGGCGGUGGCGGCAGAGGGAGGCGCGGCGGCCGAGCCGUUAGAGGCGGCGGCUGUGUCUGAGCCGUUAGCGGUAGCGGCAGCGGCUGAGCCGGUAGAGGCGGGGGCCAUGGCGGUGGAGCCGUUAGAGGCGGCCGCGGCGGCCGAGCCGGUAGAGCCGGCGGCGGCGGCCGCGGCGGCCGCAGCGGUGACGUUAGCGAGCACAGGAUCCGGAGCUGGAGCCCAGCAAGAACCUGCGGCAGGUCCUUGUUCCCCUAAGCCAGGCCCCGCUUCCCAGCCGUGCCCAGCCCGCGCCGGCUGCCUGCUGAGUCUGGGAGCCUCACGCUGUGCCCUCCUCCAGCCGCGCCAGGCUUCCCUGCGGUGAUGAGGGGCACCGCGAACGGUGCGGUUGGAGCAGAGCGCGCAGCGGAGGCUGCGCCCAGAGAGGAGCUCACUUCUCCGCCCCACCGGGAGGCAGCGGCUGGGACGACUCUGAGAGCCGGUAGGUGUUGGGCCAUGGCCCUCCCCCGACCCCGCUGGAGGCCGGUUCCCUCCCCUUCCCUUCCUACCUACCUCUCCUCCCUCCGGGCCUGGUGGGUGGCCAGGGCCGGAGUUCGCUGCAAGUCGGCAGAACGUUUGGCGGCGCAGGCUCCCCAGAAGUUCAGGUGCAGAGAACCAGGGAUGGGAAAGGAGGAGUCUGGGUUUGGGUGGGGCAGGGGGCACGGCGAGUUCCGGGGAUCACUCGGUGGCCUCUGCUGUACUUCAGUUUCCCCAAGCUGCAGUCAGCUAGGUGGCAGAUCACUGAGUUGA